rnacentral:lncRNA from 10 species
GGAUUCUGGAGGAGGCCUCGGCGCGCAGCUGGGCGAGUACUAACUGUUUGCACUCUCAUCAGACCUGCCUCGGUCAUGGGAGAAGUUGAAGACUUUCUGCAAUGCAGCAUCUUCAAGCAAUACACACAUGGAUGAAAAUCCUAAAGUUUGCAUGAAGGACCAAUAACGGUAGUUUCCCUGCCCCUCUACCAGAACCCCUGGGAUCAGCGCCUGCCUGCCUCCUUUCUUCUAUGUAAUCGGCGGCCACCUCCCCUAGCUCUUGCUGCUAACCAUGCUUCCCGGACACCUGCUGCCUUCGUAGGUCAGGGUCUCACCUCCUCGGGCCAAUUCUGACCAAACAGCACCCUGUGGGGUUGCCCUGUCUUAGUAAACUGCUGUUUAUCUCAUUGAAAUUCAGUUUAGGUCAUUUCACUCUUAUGUUUAAGAAACUUUUCUGCCCGAUCUCCUAUGAUAGCGGAUAUCUCCUCUAGCCUGUUUGAAUUUCUCAAGUGAUUUAUUUUACUGAAUAUAUUUGUGGCCUGUACUUUUCAGUGCCUAGAAACAGGCAAAGUGAGGGAGCUCCUUUGCUAGAUGAUCUUCAGAGCCUCUCCCAGCUGUGACCAGAAAUGGAAAGCCAGAGAAGUCUUUGACUUCGCUGCACCCAGUGAACAGAUCCCUGCUGGAUUCACUUACAUCAGAUUUCUCCUCCUGGAAAUAGAAGAAAUGUGCCUAUUGAUGUGUGGAGCAUCUCGCAUGGC